UUUAUGUGGAUUAGUUUGUAUAAGAGCUCCAAACUCAAUUUCCCCCUUUAUUUUCUUCAGUACUGGGCAGGAAAAACAGUCCAGAUGUGAAUCAUCUGCAGGAACCUCCUCCGUGGUGGCUGCCCCUGGCGUCAGUGUCUGGGUUUGUGUUACUAAUUGGAACCGUGUUUUUGGGGAGGAAGGCUUGCAGAUCAACCCAGAAAGAAAACAACUCAAAGCAAAAUAUAGAAGAAGUUAAAACCAGCACUGAGAAAGAAGACAAGAGAAUGGCUUACAAAGUGGGGUACAGCUCUAUGCCUGAUCUGGCAGAUGUGAACAGUCCUCCCAACAGUUCAAACGACAUCUAUGUUACCAUGCACGGAUUCCCAUUUGCACCAGACGCUCCUGUCACAGCUGGACACAGCAGACGUCUUCCCUCUGACUGGCAGCCAAAGGAUGAGGAACCCAUUUAUGUAAAAUAACUGAUUAUUUAUUAUUAUUAUUAUUAUUAUUAGACUAAUGGAAAGAAAACAUUCUGAUGGU